rnacentral:snoRNA from 1 species
AACCCCAUUUCAGUACUUUACCUUCGCAUCGUCAUGAAUGGAUCGCUAUGCUAAUGGGAUAGAAAAUUACUGUCAUGGUCUGAAGGUGUGGCUCCCAGUAGUAGAGAACCCCACUCAACAAAUUGUCAAAACACACAAUU